AUACGGAGGAUCCGAGCGUUAUCCGGAUUUAUUGGGUUUAAAGGGUGCGCAGGCGGCCAUUUAAGUCAGCGGUUAAAUCGUGGGGCUCAACCCCAUUCUGCCGUUGAUACUGGGUGGCUUGAUUGCGGUCGAGGUUGGCGGAAUUCGUUGUGUAGCGGUGAAAUGCAUAGAUAUGACGAAGAACACCGAUCGCGUAGGCAGCUGACCAGACCGCAAAUGACGCUCAUGCACGAAAGUGCGGGUAUCGAACAGGAUUAGAUACUCUGGUAGUCCGCACAGUAAACGAUGGAUACUCGCUGUCGGCGAUAUACGGUCGGUGGCCAAGCGAAAGCGUUAAGUAUCCCACCUGGGGAGUACGCCGGCAACGGUGAAACUCAAAGGAAUUGACGGGG
rnacentral:rRNA from 1 species